UGGGGAAUCUUGCGCAAUGGCCGCAAGGCUGACGCAGCGACGCCGCGUGCGAGAGGACGCCCUUCGGGGUGUAAACCGCUGUUGCCCGGGACGAACCUGGCUUUUCGAGGCCACUGACGGUACCGGGUGAGGAAGCACCGGCUAACUCCGUGCCAGCAGCCGCGGUAAUACGGAGGGUGCGAGCGUUGUCCGGAAUCACUGGGCGUAAAGGGCGCGUAGGCGGCUUCUUAAGCGGGCGGUGAAAGCCCGGGGCUCAACCCCGGGUCGGCCGUGCGAACUGGGAAGCUGGAGCACUGUAGAGGCGAGUGGAAUUCCGGGUGUAGCGGUGGAAUGCGUAGAGAUCCGGAAGAACACCGGUGGCGAAGGCGGCUCGCUGGGCAGUGGCUGACGCUGAGGCGCGACAGCGUGGGGAGCAAACAG
rnacentral:rRNA from 1 species